rnacentral:rRNA from 1 species
GACGAACGCUGGCGGCGUGCUUAACACAUGCAAGUCGAACGGAAAGGCCCUGCUUUUGUGGGGUGCUCGAGUGGCGAACGGGUGAGUAACACGGGAGUAACCUUCCCUGGACUUUGGGAUAACUUCAGGAAACUGGGGCUAAUACCGGAUAGGUGCUCCUGCUGCAUGGGGGGGGUUGGAAAGUUUCGGCGGAUGGGGAUGGACGCGGGGCUUAUCAGCUGGUUGGGGGGGGAGGGGCUUACCAAGGCUUUGACGGGUCGCCGGCCUGGGAGGGUGACCGGCCACAUUGGGACUGAGAUACGGCCCAGACUCCUACGGGAGGCAGCAGUGGGGAAUAUUGCACAAUGGGCGGACGCCUGAUGCAGCAACGCCGCGUGCGGGAUGAAGGCCUUCGGGUUGUAAACCGCUUUCGCCUGUGACGAAGCGUGAGUGACGGUAAUGGGUAAAGAAGCACCGGCUAACUACGUG